AAUUUCUUCAAACCGAAGGUCUUUGUUAAUUUGAUUAGAAUUCUGUGCGAAGAAAUUUUU
rnacentral:pre_miRNA from 1 species